rnacentral:rRNA from 1 species
AAUGGCCUAACGGCUGAACCAGCAAUUUGGGGGAAUGUAUAAAUCGACUAUGUCGGAUAUAAUUCUAGAUAGAUAAUUGAUAAUGACAAACUUCUAUCUAUAUGUCUUGACCAAGUCUUGUGCCAGCAGUCGCGGCAAUACAAGGAAGACUAGUGUUAUUCAUCUUUAUUAGGUUUAAAGGGUACCUAGACAGUAUUUCCAGCCCCCCAAAAGGGUACAGAUAUACUAGAGUUUUAUGUGAGAGGAAAAUAUUAGGACCAUUGGUGUAGAGAUGAAAUUCUUUGAUACUAAUGGGACGGAUAACGGCGAAGACAACCCUCUAUGUGUAAACUGACGUUGAGGGACGAAGGCUUGGGGAGCAAAUAGGAUUAGAUACCCUAGUAGUCCAGGCAGAAAAUUAUGAAUGUUAUAUAUUAAAUUAAAAAUUGAUGUAUAAAUGAAAGUGUAAGCAUUCCACCUUAAGAGUAAUGUGGCAACACAGGAACUGAAAUCAUUAGACCGUUUCUGAAACCAGUAGUGAAGUAUGUUAUUUAAUUCGAUGACCCUCGAAAAACCUUACCACAAUUUGAAUAUUAUUUAUGGACUCUUUGAUUAAAACCUUUGGGCCUAAAUAUUACAAGUGUUGCACGGCUGUCUUCAGUUAAUGUCGUGAGAUUUUGGUUAGAUCCAUUAAAUUAACGUAAACCCUUGCUUUAUUUAUUUAUUUAUUGAUUGUGGGGUGUAUUAGUAUCGCAGGUUAGCCUGUAAGAGAACGUUCACUCCUGAAUAGAGCAGUUCACCGCUAUAUUGGUUUAGAUAAAAGGGAUCAAGACAAGUCAUCAUGACCUUAAUAUUGUGGGCUAUAGACGUGCCACAUAUAUUUGUACAAAGAGAGGCAAAAAUGCGAAUUUGAGCUAAUCUCUAAAGCAGAAUAUAAUAU